rnacentral:rRNA from 1 species
CACUUGGGCGGCAGGCCUACACAAUGCAAGUCGAGCGGCAGCGGAAAGUAGCUUGCUACUUUGCCGGCGAGCGGCGGACGGGUGAGUAAUGUCUGGGAAACUGCCUGAUGGAGGGGGAUAACUACUGGAAACGGUAGCUAAUACCGCAUAACGUCGCAAGACCAAAGAGGGGGACCUUCGGGCCUCUUGCCAUCAGAUGUGCCCAGAUGGGAUUAGCUAGUAGGUGGGGUAACGGCUCACCUAGGCGACGAUCCCUAGCUGGUCUGAGAGGAUGACCAGCCACACUGGAACUGAGACACGGUCCAGACUCCUACGGGAGGCAGCAGUGGGGAAUAUUGCACAAUGGGCGCAAGCCUGAUGCAGCCAUGCCGCGUGUAUGAAGAAGGCCUUCGGGUUGUAAAGUACUUUCAGCGGGGAGGAAGGCGUUGAGGUUAAUAACCUCAGCGAUUGACGUUACCCGCAGAAGAAGCACCGGCUAACUCCGUGCCAGCAGCCGCGGUAAUACGGAGGGUGCAAGCGUUAAUCGGAAUUACUGGGCGUAAAGCGCACGCAGGCGGUCUGUCAAGUCGGAUGUGAAAUCCCCGGGCUCAACCUGGGAACUGCAUUCGAAACUGGCAGGCUAGAGUCUUGUAGAGGGGGGUAGAAUUCCAGGUGUAGCGGUGAAAUGCGUAGAGAUCUGGAGGAAUACCGGUGGCGAAGGCGGCCCCCUGGACAAAGACUGACGCUCAGGUGCGAAAGCGUGGGGAGCAAACAGGAUUAGAUACCCUGGUAGUCCACGCCGUAAACGAUGUCGACUUGGAGGUUGUGCCCUUGAGGCGUGGCUUCCGGAGCUAACGCGUUAAGUCGACCGCCUGGGGAGUACGGCCGCAAGGUUAAAACUCAAAUGAAUUGACGGGGGCCCGCACAAGCGGUGGAGCAUGUGGUUUAAUUCGAUGCAACGCGAAGAACCUUACCUACUCUUGACAUCCAGAGAACUUAGCAGAGAUGCUUUGGUGCCUUCGGGAACUCUGAGACAGUGCUGCAUGGCCUGUCGUCAGCUCGUGUUGUGAAAUGUUGGGGUUAAGUUCCCGCAACGAGCGCAACUCUUAUCCUUUUGUUGCCAGCGUUAGGCCGGGAACUCAAGGAGACUGCCAGGUGAUAAACCUGGAGGGAGGUGGGGAUGACGUUCAAGUCAAUCAUGGCCUAACGAGUAGACUACACCAACGGUGUCCUACCAAUGGCGCAU